UGGGGAAUUUUGGACAAUGGGGGAAACCCUGAUCCAGCCAUCCCGCGUGUGCGAUGAAGGCCUUCGGGUUGUAAAGCACUUUUGGCAGGAAAGAAACGUCGCGGGUUAAUACCCCGCGAAACUGACGGUACCUGCAGAAUAAGCACCGGCUAACUACGUGCCAGCAGCCGCGGUAAUACGUAGGGUGCAAGCGUUAAUCGGAAUUACUGGGCGUAAAGCGUGCGCAGGCGGUUCGGAAAGAAAGAUGUGAAAUCCCAGAGCUUAACUUUGGAACUGCAUUUUAACUACCGGGCUAGAGUGUGUCAGAGGGAGGUGGAAUUCCGCGUGUAGCAGUGAAAUGCGUAGAUAUGCGGAGGAACACCGAUGGCGAAGGCAGCCUCCUGGGAUAACACUGACGCUCAUGCACGAAAGCGUGGGGAGCAAACAGGAUUAGAUACCCUGGUAGUCCACGCUGUAAACGAUGUCGAUUUUGGAGGUUGUGCCCUUGAGGCGUGGCUUCCGGAGCUAACGCGUUAAAUCNACCGCCUGGGGGAGUACGGGCCGCAAGGUUAAAACUUAAAGGAAUUGGCNCGGGAUGUAAUACUGAUUUUCCC
rnacentral:rRNA from 1 species